GUCAGAAACUCCGUGGUGGCUGUGGCCAGUGCAAGCUCAGAAGCCCGCCUGGUCGGGAGCAGGGUCAAAGCCCGCGUGCUGGCUGCGUCUGUGGUGCAGGCCACGCAGAGCUUCCUAGAACAGGGCGAGUAGAUGGCUAAGGAAAGGCAGGGUCUCGAGGAGAAGGGCAGCCGACUCGGGCGAUGAAGACGCGGCAGGCACAGGCCCUGGGUGCCAGGUCCCCCAGGAGGAGGACUUCCGGUCCGUGGGAGCCCUGUGGUCUGCUCUCCGAGGCCCGGGCCCUGCUGCCCCACGGCGGCCAUCUUGGGCCCGGGCUUCUGUGCGACGACACCUUGUAAAUACCAGGCUCCUGCUCACCGCAGGCAGACGUGCAAAGGCGGAGCCCCACUCAUGGUCUUGCUGUGUUCCCCAGGCUGGUACAGACUCCAGGGCUCAAGCCAUUCUCCUGCCUCAGCCUCCUGAGAAUUGAAUUUAAGACCUCGAGCUUGCCAGGCAGGCGCAGCCACCACCGAGCUACAUUUGUUGCCCCAAUAAUGAUUGUUUCUACCAAAAAAAUGAAGUCCUGAAUGUAGAACUCAAGUUUGUCUAACAAUCAAGAGAAAAAUCCAUUUCCCAAUAUUGGUCGCUGUUUCCACAGAGUAAGAGUGAGCAGAAUGUCCCAAGUUCCCUUACACUUGUCAGAGUAAUGCUUUGGAAGGACUGGGACCCUUCCUGCUAAUCUCACUCCAAAACCCCAAGGACAGUGGCUCAGCCUAGUCACACCACACAUUACGUAGCACGCGGUGUGUGUCUGUCAUGCACACAACGGGAUGCGAGGAUUUGUGUUGCAUGAAAUGGCAGGCCAAUAACAAACAGCAUUUUAUUAUUUAAACAAUCUUGCAAUGUCAACAUCAAUGCUAAUAAAAAAUACAUGAUAAGGAAAUUCAUCCCUGGCA
rnacentral:lncRNA from 1 species